UUCUGCCUCAGUCAUAAAUGUGUUUAACCGCUCUGUGGGAAAUAAGUGAUCUUUUAGCAAAGUUAACCUGUGACCUGUUGACUCGGACAGCACAGGUGUGCUCCACAUGCGGACGCCAUCAAGGCCGUGACCGAAUGGAAAACAAAAACGGAUGAAAAGGAAGCCAACAAGCACCACAGCCAGCAGGACAGCUCUGUCUGGUGAUCCGGGACACCCCAUGAGAACGGGACAGGAUUGGCCGUCCUAGUGACGACACCAGCUGUGGGCGGAGUCUUGCCCUGACUCUGGUGCCGUUGGUGAAGGUCUGACCUCUCUCCAGCCCCGCACAGGAGCGCCCGUCUCCAAGCAGCACGGUUCCAGGAGGGCACAGGCACCUGAAGCUGCCGGGAACGUUACGGCACUGUGUUUUGUGUUUUUUUUUGUGGGCAGAAAAUAAAUGCGAGCGCGAGCUGAGCGUGGCGGGCAGCGUACGGCAUGCGUCUCAGAUAAAGUGGAGACCUUGUACUGUGAGUCUGAACUGGCGCAUCUGAGUCCCAGCGUUGUUACUGGCCAGGCACUGGUAAAGCCCCUGGUCCCUCAGUCUGACUGACUUCACCUUCAGCACCUGGCCGUCUUCCAGGAACUCCACGUGGGGGUCUCCGUCACGGGACAGAACCCUGCAGAGAGAGAGGAAGGGAAUGGUGGAUCAAACUGAUAUCCUGUGAGCGACGCCGAAUGCCACGUCGAUAAACUGACGCUUACUCUCCGUCGCGGCUCCACUCCACUCUGGGUGCUGGUCGUCCGCUAACCCGACACUGGAACUCCACCUCCUGGCCCAGUGCAACAGUUAGCUCCUGCAGUCGGGAGGUUCCUGAGAUCACCGGUGGAGCUGUAAGUCACACAUUCACCGCUUAGUUCACAUGUUUUUAAAGGGACAUCAGUUUAGCUGUUAAUGAGCUCAUUAGCAGUGACGUGGAUGGUGAGUCAAGAUGUAUGCUGCAUUAAGUGGAGUAUUAAAGUUUAAUCAAACACUUUAAGCUCUCUGGGGGCUUUAGACUCGCUGACUGAGGAGAUUUUAAGUCCAAUGAAGGCAAGAAAAACUUCUUAACGUGGUGCACAUCCUCAGUAUGUAAUUUCCUGCACUUUGUUCCUAUUCAUACUGUCACACCUUGUACCACUAUGUUAUAUUCUCUCCGGGCCUCUCCAGCCGAGUUUUGAGCUGUGCAGGAAAAUCUUCCUGCAUGUUCUGGUUGAACUCUGUAGAUUCUCAGCAUCCGGUUCCCGUUCUGCAGGUACACCCCUGGACUGUCCACCUGGACGCACAACAGAUCAGUUUAAAUGCCUUCUGACUGCUUAAUUGUAUUAAGAACAGUGACCACUUGGUGGCACUGUACAGCUAGAUAUUAACAUGCAGCCCGAGUGCUAAAUUCAUUCUAAAUUGAGGGCAAAAAUACUGACAGGAUGACCAUCUUUAGUCCAGGUGAUUGUCGGAGAGGGGAUCCCGAAGGCAUCGCAGCCCAGAGUGAGAGGCUGCUUCAAGGUGACUGUGAGGUUCAGUGGCUGGCCAUCAUCUUGGAUCUCUGGGGGAACUGUUGAAGUGCAAAAGAAAAAGGGAAGAAUCGUGUUUAAAGGGACAGUACACCACAAAACCAAAGCAACAAAUUGAUGGAUGAAGUGAGAGGAGAAAUAUGUAUGUUUGAUUUUGGCACGAACUGUCCCUUUAAGUUCAGUUUAAGGAAUUUUAUUAGGAGGAGGGAAAACAGUCGUAAGUGAAUUCUCACCUUUUACUUUCAGCCUGGUCUUCCUCUCCACGGAGCCCGCCUCAUUGGUUGCCACACACUUGUAGUCCCCGCUGUGGCUGGCGGACGCCGAGCUAAUUACGAGAGCUCCGUCCCUCGCCACAGAAAGCUCUGACUGUUCGGGAUGUAUCUCCAGGCCAUUCUUGAACCAGCGAACCUUGGGACGAGGUGAACCUGCAGGUGUGCGGGAACAAGAGACGAAUUCUGAGGGAGCAUAAACGGAGCUUUAUUGACCAUGUCUGACAGAAAGAAAAGUUACUUCCAUCUCUCUGCCUCGCUACAAGAGAACUUAACGGGCAAGCGGCCCAGACUAGAAAAAGCCCGGUCUACAUUUAUCUGCUGGACAGGGGAACAGCAGGGGAGGACGUGCCAAAAUGGUUAGAGUCGUUGUAGCCCGCGAGCUGAACAUUUCAAGGUCAGAGUCAUAUAAAAAAGACUCGGUAUGCCGGAGAAAUGUACGAUUUAAAACGCUAGCAUCAAGAUUUAUUACCACACACUGAGCGUCUUGAGCAGUAAGAACAGGAGUGGCUGAACAAGUAGUUCAAAGGCGCUGGAACCUGAAACAGGUGUGUGCUGUGGGUCACUGGGCGGAGAAGAGCAGGAAAAUGGCCAAGAGGAGUGAGGCGAAACGGGUGGAAAAAAACGGUGGAGUAUUUUGUACCCGACGCAACAGACUCCGUCCUCAAGGACGAGGACGGCCCAUCGAGUCGCAGCGAAAGAGCAGCACAGUGAGGCCAUCCAAAUGCCACGGCUCGGUCUAUUUACAGAGGUGUUACAUAUACAAACACCACAGACGAGGAAGAGAUCUCAAACAGCCUUCCUCAACAGCAGAAAAUACUCACCACGGGAGGAGCGGCGCGAGUAAAGAUCUCAAGAGAACAAUGAAGGGGUCCUCGUUUCCUGCUGCCGCCUGCCUCUCUGGGGUGUCAAGAGCAUCAAGCGUUUUCAUGUGAGGCCUGGCACACUCUGCCUGCCCGCCUGGCAGCACGACGUGGAUGGAAGGAGGGCAACUGUGGCUUCAUCUUCCUCUUCCUGUGCUUCACGGUGCACCUCAGACAUCUCUGUCCUUCAUCUGCCAGCAGCAGCCUGUAAUUAGGAUUCCUCUCCCAGCAGGCCCCGACGCAGAGGAAAGCAGAUGUGGCUCACUGAGGCAGCAGGCAGACCGAUGUUCCAGCUGUUGCUCCACAUCAGACGUGGUCCUCACCUUCUCUCACCGAGGUGGUUGCCAUGGCGCAGCUCCACACAAACAAUACAUGUUUGCACGGGAGGCACCUCCACAGUGCGUCCACAGGCAGACGAUCGCCGCGGUUUGAUAAAACGGCAAGCUCUCCACAUCCCACAAAGACGUUUUAAACAAACGGACGACAGCUUAUCUCUGAGAGCUGCGAUAAAAGUUAGACAGCUAGAAGGGAAACACUCACACUGCUGCAUGACUGCACAUUUCUGUCCUUCAUUUUAAGUGGAAUAUUCUGUGGUAUGAUGAAAAGAAACUAAAGAAAGAAGAUAUUCUCCUAUAAAAACUAGUCAUGCCCUGUGAAUUGUGUCUCUUUAAAACCUUCUGUCAUCCUAUCGUCUCUAGUCAUCGGGCUGACUCAGCAGUGAGUCAUCUCCUACCUUCAGCAGGGCAGGGGAUGAUGACCUUGCUGUUUGCUGUUUUCUCCAUGAUGGCAUCCCCAGGUUCUGCAAAGGACGGGGCCUCUGGGAGGACAAAAAACAUGUUAAGAGCGGGUUCAAAACG